ACUACAUUUAGGCACACUAACAAAGUAGUUAUAAUAUAAAUAUGAUAAUUUAUAAUCUUAAACAAUUAAUGGUAAAGAUUUGACAUUCAUUGUAGUAUGUAGUUGGUGUAGAAGCUGAAGAAGUGAUGGUAUUCUCCAAAUUAUUUCCCACCUUUCAAUUGGUAAUAACUAACACACAAGGACACCCAAAUAGACUAAAGAUAACUACAGUUGCCACAUAAGGUUCAUAUAAGGUUACUUUCUACAGAAGUGCACAAAGACAAAAGCCAAGAUUGCUGACUUGCAUAUGGUGGACACUGGAAUCCCAUAUUUUCCACUGCCAAACAACN
rnacentral:lncRNA from 1 species